GUUUUGGCACCGGAGGAUUGCUGGAGCCCGCCGAGGUGCGCCGAGCCCUCCCAGAGAGGGGCCCGUCCCGGCACGCAGGCAGCAGCAUCAGCAUUAGAUCAGCGCUGGCGCUGCGGCUCGUGUUUCUCUUGCUUACUGAAGAUAUUUGAUUAAGCUCGGCUGUCGCUGACGGUCCUCUUGGCUCGGGCUCUGACACUGACUUAGACCUGCCGAGUCCCUCUGUUUCUCGGUUUCACUCUGGCUAACAAAGCCUGGGCUGCGGAGGAAACCUGCUUCCUGGUGCUCCCACUCUGCUGCUCUCCCCUUACUGGUCCCGAGACCUUAGAGACGGGAAUUGAAGUUUCUUCACCAUGGUGUCUCCGCGCCCUGCUCUUCUUGCUGCCACCCCAGAGUGCACUGUGCAGCUCCGGGCAGGAUGGGCCGCGCUCCUCCAUCUCCGGCUCACCUACCUCCUCCUCAAGCAUGGAUGUGGCUGUCCGGUUUCCUGAGUCGUGUAUUAUUCCUACAGUGUCUCAGUGAUGCUGUAGGCUUUUGUGCUAAUUUUGUGCUUUAACUUUUGUGCUUUAACUAAUCGCUGACUUAAAAAAAUGCCCAGAUCCUCAGGAAAAUCUUGAAGCUCAUUGAAUUUCCUCUUUCACAACCUUACUCCUUCAAUGCCACAAACUUCUUCGGGGCACUUGGACAUUUUGGCAUUUCAGCAUCACCCUGUAGAGGGAUUCAGGAUAAUAGCUAUAUUUUCAUGUAACUCUAACCAGAAACUUCACUUCUGUUUGCCUUUAGGAAACCAGAAGAAAAUAUCUACCAUUGAUCAAGGGAUCUUUGAACUCACUGAAUUCUUGAUUGUAUUCAGUCAUUGUUCAUGGUAUUAAUCCUACUAAAAGGUAUAGAGACGCUCCAGAGUGCUUUGUGGUGUUGAAGGUUGCGGAAAGAUCAUUGUACCCCUACAGAUGAAUAGAUCUGUGGCUCUUGCAGUGACCUUUCUCAGUGAUUUGAAUAAGCUGCAGUUCCCAGAAAUCCAUCUGCCUUUUGUGUUUGUCGAUUUGUCUAAUCUUUCCGACCCCUAAAAGAAUCAGAAAGUACCUUCCCAUCCGAUUUCAUCCUCCCGAGUAAAAGCAUUAAAUUGACCUCAUUUCAGGUGAUGAACUGACAUUUGCUGAAAGUGAUCCUGGCAUCAGGCGAGCUUUCCAUGGAGAGAAGGAGGGUGUGCAAAGAGGGAGGCAGAGAAGAGCAGCCCCAGAAAUCUCUUACUAACUCUAAAGACAGUACCUUAAAACACCAAGAAGUAGCCUGGACCAAAGAGCUUGGGAGUACAGUGCUGAACACAAGGAAUGUUAUAUGUACGAAAGAUGAACAUCCCCAGGCCCUGCUGCCCCAGCCUAACCUGACUGGGAGCACAAGGUAGGGGAGGAGACAGAGGAACCAAAACUGAGGGAGACUCCACUUUCCCUUCUGUUUGCUUUCUUACUUUAUCAAAGGUAAAAUACCUUCUCUGUAGUUUUCCUCUGGACAGGUUAGGGUAGCCAGGCUCCUCCUGAUGUGAAGUGUUUCUCUGGUUUUCUAGUAACCUAUCAAAAGUUAAUAAUCAGAAUAUAUCUCAAUCUAUGUCUCAGAUAACCUCUGUAAGAGGGAAAUUACUAGAAGUGAAUUUAAGUUUAGAUUUAUAUAAAUGAGCAGACAUAUACUGAUGUGUGUGUAUAUAUAUAGAUGAACACACACAUAUAUAUAUAUAUCUAUUUCCACACACACCCACACACAUCCCUUUCAUCAUGCUUUCUAUAUUAAGAAAUUAAUAUGCAUAUCCUUUAUGUUUUGUUUUAAUGUCAGUGACCGUGACUAUUAACACAGGAUCUUCUUUAGAAAACAAACAAACAAACAAUGAACUAAAACUUAUUUUAAGGAAGUUUAUUUUUAAGAAUAAAUUAAGAUUUUCUUGUAGAAUUCUUUUCUUCUGCCUAGGUACUUUUUUGCCUCCUUGAAUGGCAUAUUUGCAAGUACAAUUUCAUCUGCACAGAGGAACAAUAGCUUUCAGUUGCACAAAGGAUUUCUCCCACCCUGAAUCCAAACCACAAUGCCUCUUGCUCUGAUAAUAGCUUCUGAAAAGAUUUUGUAAUGCACAGAAUUAAUACAUGAUUAUUUCCGCCUCACUUCUCUCAUUUAUUAGAUUCUAUAGUGAAUUCCAAAUUAAAAAUAGCACCUCUUGAGUUUCUUAACGUUCUAAUAUUUUGAAACAAAUCAUAUUCUGAAGUUCCUCUUUUUGCCCGUGUUUACUAAGAAAUCUGCAUUUUUUAUUAUUGCUCAGAAGAAAAACUAUGUAAUAUAAACGUAAAAAUCAGAGCAUGCAAAAAUUGCAAAAAAUUAUAAUGUCGAGUUGUUUUAAAAUGAACUAUAGUGAUUUUUCCUUUGUAAACUGUAAGAGUGAUGAGGAGCAGUAGCUGACAAACUGAGUUUUAAUUCAGGAAUAUCUUUUUAAAUUUAUGAAGCAAAACAAAACCUCAGCUUCAGUUAGAGUUUUGCAAGGAUCAGAAUCAUGCCCUGUGUCCUAAAGUAAAUAAUGAAGUGUAAUUCUGCUGAGGCAUCUGAAAGGUGAGCUUCCACAUCACUGCAUGGGGAGCUCCUCUCUGCUCUUACAAAGACUUCCUCCCACACUUCCAACAGAGGUGUGAGAACUUAUUUACAUGAAAGCGUACAUUAAAUAUUUACUGACAUUUGCCUGAAA